UGAAGACUAUGGAUGGCUUCUUCCCCUAUAUCUCUCUGAGGCAGGGUCUUACUAUGUUCUUAGGGUAGGUUGGAACUCACUUUAUAGUUUAUCCUCCAGCUUACAUGAUCCUUCUGCAUCAGCCUCCCAUGUACUGAGAUUAUAGAUAUGUAUUACCAUGCCUGGCUUGAAGACUUUUCUUAGAUUAUUAAUUUUGUAUAUGUAUUUAGGCCUGUGCAUGCCAUGGUGCACACAUGGUCAGAGGACAGACAGCUCAUGGCAGUCAGCUCUCUCCUUCCACCGUAUGGGUCCCAGGGAUGGAACUCAGGUUCUCAGGUUUGGUGGCUAGUUCCCUUAACUGCAAAGUCGUCAUGCUGGUCCUCAUCUUCUCUUCUAAUGCUAUCUUUUUUUUGUUUUGUUUUGUUUUUUUGUUUUUCGAGACAGGGUUUCUCUGUGUAGCCUUGGCUGUCCUGGAACUCACUCUGUAGACCAGGCUGGCCUCGAACUCAGAAAUCUUCCUGCCUCUGCUUCCUGAGUGCUGGGAUUAAAGGCCUAAUGCUAUCUUUUAAUGCUUUAAAUUUUCCUCUAGAAGACAUGUUGACAAGAUAGUCGGUUUGCCUUUUACUCAUUCUCUCCACAAAGAAGGCAGUAGGGAAGUGACUGAGCAUCCGAGUAGAAACAACAGGACCCCUGGGGGACACAAACCCAUUAACCACAGAGAGGAGAGGGCUGUAUUCUGCUUCUCCCAUUCAGAUCAAGGCAACCUUCUGCUUACAAGGAGACCUCAGAGUCCCUGUUGUCUCUGUAGACAGACUUUCACGGUCCUCACAGAACCUGAGAUAUUCAGAGAGUGGUCUGGGGUUCAUAGGCCUGUCAUGCGAUAGUUAAGAGCUCAUGUUUUUACACCCCCACCUCCGCCCAAACACACACACUAUGCCUAAGUAUCUAUGGUCAUCUGGACUCUGAACCUACCUGUGCAGUGCAUCCCACCCUAGAAAACAGCAGAUGUUCUGUGUCUGUUCUUGGGGACCUGCCAUUAUUCCAUCAUACUCAGGAUCAACUGCACCACCGUAGCCCCAGCUUCUGAAAAUAUCCACCUAGCAGAAGUGUCCAGACUCUGGCUUCUAAACUGAUAUGGCACCAGGGAACAGAGUGGAAACUGACAUAUAACCACAAGCCUGAAAUGCCUGUGAACACUUGUGCAUGUCUUGAUAGCCAACCAAGUAGCAGCCUCACUCUGCCCCUAUGAGCCAGCUCCUUAGCUGCCAACCCACAGUGCCCCCAAGUACACAAACUCAGGCUGACAGCCCCACCCACUGGAGAGCCUGCCACACAGCCACCAGUCAGUGGCUCUGCAGUCUGCCAAGCAACAGCAGACUUAUCCCUGGCAAAGCUGUACCACACAGCUGCAUCACAGACACCCACAAGCUAGAUCAUUAACACAAACAAGUAUAUCACCAGUGAACAUCACAGCUGAAGAAACUGCACUAUUGUGUCCACUUGAAAUUUAACUUAGUAAUAUGCUAGACUGACAGAGUACCUUCCAUCUACAGGAAAAAGUCUCUCUCUGUGAGGAAAAGAAACCCUCUUUAAAGUUUUAAGAGGUAGUCUCUCUACUUGCUUCUUGUGUAAAGUCAUAGGAUGAAAGCGAAGGACUAGGAAAAGAUACUUAACGCAGAUAGAAAUAAAAGCCUGUGAAAAAAUGAAGAUGGUUGUAUAAUGAUAAAAAGAUUCAGUUCAUCUAUUGAUAGUGCAUGCAUCCAAUACAGCACUACUCAAAUACAUAAAGCAAAUGUGGCCAUGUCUAAAGGGAGAGAGAGAAUCUUACACAGUGUAUUAGUCAGGGUUCUCUAGAGUCACAGAACUUAUGGACAGUCUCUAGAUAGUAAAGGAAUUUAUUGAUGACUUACAGUCGGCAGCCCAAUUCCCAACAAUGGUUCAGUCGCAGCUGUGAAUGGAAGUCCAAGGAUCUAGCAGUUACUCAGUCUCACGCAGCAAGCAGGCGAAGGAGCAAGAGCAAGAGCUAGACUCCCUUCUUCCAAUGUCCUUAUUUUGUCUCCAGUAGAAGGUGUAGCCCAGAUUAAAGGUGUGUUCCACCACACCUUUAAUCCCAGAUGAAAGGCGUAGCCCAGAUUAAAGGUGUGUUCCUUAAACUCGGAGAUUCAAUCUUCUGGAAUCCAUAGCCACUAUGGCUCAAGAUCUUCAAACCAAGAUCCAGAUAAGGAUCUCCAAGCCUCCAGAUAAGGGUCACUGGUGAGCCUUCCAAUUCCGGAUUGUAGUUCAUUCCAAAUAUUGUCAAGUUGACAACCAGGAAUAGCCACUACACACAGUAAUAGCUGGGAUGUCAGCUUCCCAGGAGACAGAUUCCGCAGGCACAAACAAUGUAAUGGCAGAAUUAAACUAUAGAAUAGACCAAACAGCUUGGCACACACAGAACGUUCCCCGCAGCCUCUGUAGAGUGCAUUCUCUCCUCAGUGUAUGCAACUCACCAGUGUAAGCCAUGUAGCAGGCCACAAAACAAUCUCAAUGAAUUUUUAGAAAUCAAAAUUAUUUCUUUUCUGGUCACAAAACUAGAAACCAACAAGAGGAGCUGUGGAAAUUAUAGAAGUAAGUGAAAAUUAGACAAUAUGGGUUCAUGAAGAAAUUAAAAGGGGAAUAUAGAAAAUUUCUUGAGAUAUAUGAAAAUAGAAAUAUGGGGUCUGGAGAGAUGGCUCAAUGGUUAAGAGCACUGACUGCUCUCCCAGAGGUCCUGAGUUCAAUUCCCAGUAACCACAUGGUGGCUCACAACCAUCUGUAAUGGGGAUCUGAUGCCCUCUUCUGGUGUGUCUAAGACAGUACGGUGUAUUCAUAUAAAAUAAGUAAAUAAAUAAAUAUUUAGAAAAAAAAGAAAAAGAAAAUAUACUGCCAGGCAGUGAUGGCUCACACCUUUAAUUGCAGCACUUGAGAGGCAGAGACAGGCAGAUAUCUGUGAGUUCUCUGUGAGUUCGGGGUCUACAGAAUGAGUUCCAGGACAGCCAGGGCAACACAGAAAAAUCCUGUCUC
rnacentral:lncRNA from 1 species